rnacentral:rRNA from 1 species
UACGUAGGGUGCAAGCGUUGCCCGGAUUUAUUGGGCGUAAAGGGCGCGUAGGCGGCUCGGCACGUCCGUUGUGAAAUCGCCCGGCUCAACUGGGCGGGGUCAGCGGAUACGGCCGAGCUUGAGCAAGCUAGGGGGCAAUGGAAUUCCCGGUGUAGUGGUGGAAUGCGUAGAUAUCGGGAGGAACACCAGUGGCGAAGGCGGUUAGCUGGCCUGUAACUGACACUGAGGCGCGAAGGCUAGGGGAGCGAACAGG